rnacentral:rRNA from 1 species
GACGAACCGUGCGAACGUUAUUCGGAAUCACUGGGCUUAAAGCGCACGUAGGCGGCUUGGUAUGUCGGGUGUGAAAUCCCCGGGCUCAACCUGGGAACUGCAUCCGAAACUGCCUUGCUAGAGUAUGGGAGAGGGAAGUGGAAUUUCCGGUGUAGCGGUGAAAUGCGUAGAUAUCGGAAGGAACAUCAGUGGCGGAGGCGACUUCCUGGACCAAUACUGACGCUCAGGUGCGAAAGCGUGGGGAGCAAACAGG